GAAUGCCUGGGAGCGUGCCCCUACUCAGGUGCUUAUCUAUUAAAUAAACGUCGCUGGAGCUAUCGAAUAUUGGAGCGAGGUGCUCGCUAUACUUGCUUGUGAAUCGAACCGGCGAAGCGGGCGCUUUGCUCGGAGGUUCUCGCGAGGUCGGGUGGGCCGCUACCUCUGCCACAGGCAUCGGCAGGUGCAGCGCACCGUGCACGUGGUGCCUCUUGGAGACGCGGCCCGCGUAGCGCUGGCCUUCUCGUCGCCGGUGUGUGUGUGUGUGUUUGUGUGUGUGUGUGAGAGGACUAUGGGGCUUUUGCGAGACCUCUACGGGACGCCGUUUCCGCUCUACCUAGCCGCCUUCACUGCGGUAUUUCUGGUUCAGCUCCGUGCAGCUCGUCUUGAUUUGAAUCUCGUGCGCCAACGGCUUCGACAAAGGUUUUCGGAAACCGCGCGAAAUCUCGGCUCGGCAACGACCGGAGCCUCCGUAUCAACAACGGCUACUCCGACCGAGGCGGGCGCGUCGGUGAGAAACCCUCCACAAGCGUCGCCGGCGUCACAGUCGAAAAAGUCUGGCUCACGUACAGCGGGACAGUUCGGACGAGUUGAAUAGCCUCAGCGCCGAGAAACUCGGCCUAUGCGAGAUGGAACCAUAGGCCGCAUAACACGCCUCAUCGCACAUUCUCGUGAACAAGUCGGGUACAGCGCGGCUCAUUUGACUGAAAGACGGAUGCAUUUACUCCGGUUACAGCCGGGUUGACGUACGCUCGGAACCAAGGCUCGCAUUGGAGGUUGUUUUUUUCAACCUUGCGCCCUGGAUGCAUCACCGAAUAGCUUCGAGAACCUUGCUGAAAUAGAAGCGCGUCGCCGUGAAUGCCGACGACUGCACCCGCCAACCGUUGCGUUCUAGGGUCUCGCGAAUUUCCUUCUCUGAAUGUAAGUAAGCUCGAGUCGCCUUACUGGGACCGGGGAAAAAGUCCCCAAUGCGUUUCAGCAGCACGUAGUAAAGCGUUCGGGGUGCAAACGAAAGAAUCAAGCGCUGCCGGGCGAUUUUCGACAAGUGGUCGAUCAUGUCCGCAGCCUGCGCUGUAGGAUAGUGGAUCAGGACGUCUAUGCAGCACACAGUAUCGAAGCGCUCAGUUUCGGGGAUGGACUCGAGGUCUGCGGUGCGAAACGCACAACGAGCAAACUGGUCAGCGGUGAGCAGCUGCUCUGCCCGCGUACGCGCCUCUGUAGUCAUGGCAGUCGAGAUGUCGCAUGCCAGGAGAUACCUGGGGUUGCGCUGCGCGAUAGGAAUGGCCAGAGAGCCGACCCCGCAACCAACGUCCAGAACAGUGUGUGUAGCCCAGUCCACGGAGGCUGCAUCAAGCAUACCCAGUACCUUGUGUACGGUUUCCGCGUGCCCUAACCGGAUGUCACGCUGAACGCGGUUUACCUGUUCGGAAUCGGAGUAAAUUCGACGCCAGCGCUCGAAUCCAG